AUGUCACUCCUGCAAGCAGUCACCUUCUUCUCUUUCUGGGCUUUAGGACUUGGAGUGACAAAACUGGAGCAGUUCCAGAUAUCUGUUUCCACGGAAGUAAAGAAAAGUGUUAACAUACAUUGCAGGGUAUGGAGCACCCAGUUUGAAACUAAACCCAUUCACUGGUACCUGCAGAAAGCAAAUCAAGCUUUGGUGCAUCUGAUUCAAGUAACCUCACUAACAACCCCAGCUCGAGCAAAGAACAACAGAGUUUCAGCAAGAAAAGAUCCUGUAACUCUCUCCUCAACUCUUACUAUAAAUUUCGUAGAAAAAGAAGAUAUGGCCAUUUACUACUGUGCUGGGUGGGAUGGGACACAGUGGGUGAAAAUCUUCAGUAGAGGAACAAAACUUGUUGUUAUAGAUAAAAAGUUUGACACAGACAUUUUCCCCAAGCCCAUUAUGUUUCUUCCUUCAAUUGCUCAAACAAAUCUCCAUGAGGCUGGAACAUACCUUUGUCUUUUGGAGAAGUUUUUCCCUGAAGAUAUUAAAGUAUAUUGGAAAGAAAAGGAUGGGAAUAUGAUGCUGCAGUCUCAGCAGGGAGAUACCAGGAAGACUAACGACACCUACAUGAAGUUCAGCUGGUUAACAGUGACUGGGGAUUCAAUGGAUAAAGAACACAGAUGUAUCGUCAAACAUGAGAACAACAAAGGAGGAGCUGAUCAAGAGAUUCUCUUUCCUCCAAUAAAUGAAGUUGUCAUCACUAUUAGUCCCAGAGAAGCCAGUCCGACAGAUGAAAAUGAUGGGCUGGGCCUGCAGCUCACCAGCACCUUUGCCUACUACACCUACCUCCCGCUGCUGCUCAAGAGCGCCCUCCAUGGGGCGCUGGUCACCUACUGUCUGUGCAGAAGGUCAGCUGUCUGCUGUGAUGGGAAGAACACCUGA